rnacentral:lncRNA from 1 species
AAUCUCUAUUUUGACUUUGCUCAAAAACAGAAGUCUCAUUCUGCAUGUGUCCAUUGCCUCUCUGUUAGGAGGUAGGUGGCAUUCCCGAUCCUUGGUGCUCUGGAAACUUGACCGGUCAUUGAGAAAAUGGAAGCCCAGAGACUUCCAUGUGAUUGGCUCAAGAACACAGAAGCUGUCAUUGGCAGUUAAAAUUUGAAUUUAGGACUCCAAAACAGCAUUCCUUCUCCAUAUUACUACCAACUGUGUUUUUGGGACGCUCCAGGUUGCCCCUGUCCCUUAAGAGCUUACCUUGGGAGAAGUCCCAGACGGACAUGCUCAUCUCCAAACUGAGCAAAAGAACUUAAAGAACUUGUUGAUCCCAGUCCAGGAGGAAAAUCGAUGGUUCAACCGUACGUCCAAAGGGCCGUCGAUUUAGACACAGCCCUGGAGUCCAGCCCCCUCCUUGCAUCAACGAGAAAACUGAGGAUUGGAAAAAUCGUGGCUUGUCUGAGGCUACAACAUUAAUGGCAUUGGAUGUGAAUGCAAAUCCUUUGACUCCAAGAGACUGGUAUCCAUACAGGAAGGCCCAAAAUAGAUUGGGUGGAACUUUUAUGGAAGCAAUUACACCAGGCCAUGAAUAAGAAUCACACAGCAUCAGCAAAAAGCAAAAGGUUAACAUUUGAAUCUUAGAGGAAGUAACAAAAUAUUGAAAUAAGUUUCUUCUUAUAAUUUAGACAUAAGGAGAUUAAAGAAAGGUGUAUAUAAGAAGAAAG